UGGGGAAUAUUGGACAAUGGGGGCAACCCUGAUCCAGCAAUGCCGCGUGUGUGAAGAAGGUCUUCGGAUUGUAAAGCACUUUCGACGGGGACGAUGAUGACGGUACCCGUAGAAGAAGCCCCGGCUAACUUCGUGCCAGCAGCCGCGGUAAUACGAAGGGGGCUAGCGUUGCUCGGAAUGACUGGGCGUAAAGGGCGUGUAGGCGGUUUACACAGUCAGAUGUGAAAAUCCCCGGGCUUAACCUGGGAGCUGCAUUUGAUACGUGUAGACUAGAGUGUGAGAGAGGGUUUGUGG
rnacentral:rRNA from 1 species